rnacentral:rRNA from 1 species
UACAGAGGUCUCAAGCGUUGUUCGGAUUCAUUGGGCGUAAAGGGUGCGUAGGCGGCGCGGUAAGUCGGGUGUGAAAUCUUGGAGCUUAACUCCGAAACUGCAUUCGAUACUGCCGUGCUUGAGGACUGGAGAGGAGACUGGAAUUUACGGUGUAGCAGUGAAAUGCGUAGAUAUCGUAAGGAAGACCAGUGGCGAAGGCGGAUCUCUGGACAGUUACUGACACUGAGGCACGAAGGCCAGGGGAGCAAACGGGAUUAGAGUACCCU